rnacentral:lncRNA from 1 species
GCUGGGUGCAGUGGGCACUUGGCCACCAGGACUCCCCAGGUGCUGAAGAGACCCCAGCUGGAGGGGCUGCCCCUUCCCCCGGGUCGGCCCUGACCCUGUCCACCCCACCUCAGGACGUUCUCCAGGGGUCACUCCGGGAUGCACUCGGACCCCCUGCCCGCUGCACUCAGCCUCCCAGGCCCCAGCCGCCCGCCUGGCAGGGGAGCUUGGCUUUUCGGGCUAGAGGAGGGUGGGGGCGCCGGGAAAGGAGGCAGGAUUCCUCACACCAGGCACCGUCCCCCAGGGCACCUCAGGCACCAAGAGCCUGAAUAAUUCACCAAAUGUUAAUAAUUUAAAAGUCCUCCUUUUUAAUUGCUUUCCCUGCUCUGCCUGGGGCCGCUCUGCUGGCCGCGCAGGGGAGGGGGCGCCGGCCGCCGGGGAGCGCGCUGUCAAUCAGGCCCCGCCGCCGCCGCCCCCGCCCCCGCCCCCGCCCCCGCCCCGCCGCGGAGCCGGCUGUAAAUAACCCCGGCCGCCAGCGCGGGGGCGCUGGGCCUCGCUGGGAUCGAUGCGGGCGGCCGCGCCGGCUGGGCUCUGCGGGCUGGCACCCGGCCCGGGGCGGGACCCACCUCCGCUUUCGGAUCUCCUGAGGGUCCGGCAGGAGGUGGCAGCUGCAGCUCUGAGGGGCCCCAGUGGCCUGGAAGCCCACCUGCCCUCCUCCACGGCAGGUCAGCGUCGGAAGCAGGGCCUGGCUCAGCACCGGGAGGGCGCCGCCCCAGCUGCCGCC